CGCAAGCCUGACGGAGCAACGCCGCGUGAGGGACGAAGGCCUUUGGGCUGUAAACCUCUUUUCUCAAGGAAGAAGAUCUGACGGUACUUGAGGAAUAAGCCACGGCUAAUUCCGUGCCAGCAGCCGCGGUAAUACGGGAGUGGCAAGCGUUAUCCGGAAUUAUUGGGCGUAAAGCGUCCGCAGGCGGCCGUUUAAGUCUGUUGUUAAAUCGUGGAGCUCAACUCCAUCACGGCAAUGGAAACUGUUCGGCUUGAGUAUGGUAGGGGCAGAGGGAAUUUCCGGUGUAGCGCUGAAAUGCGUAGAUAUCGGGAAGAACACCAGUGGCAAAAGCGCUCUGCUGGGCCAUUACUGACGCUCAUGGACGAAAGCCAGGGGAGCGAAAGGGAUUAGAUACCCCUGUAGUCCUGGCCGUAAACGAUGAACACUAGAUGUUGGGGAAUCGACCCCCUCGGUGUCGUAGCUAACGCGUUAAGUGUUCCGCCUGGGGAGUACGCACGCAAGUGUGAAACUCAAAGGAAUUGACAGGGGCCCGCACAAGCGGUGGAGUAUGUGGUUUAAUUCGAUGCAACGCGAAGAACCUUACCAAGGCUUGACAUCCUGCGAAUCUCUAAGAAAUUAGAGAGUGCCUUCGGGAACGCAGUGACAGGUGGUGCAUGGCUGUCGUCAGCUCGUGUCGUGAGAUGUUGGGUUAAGUCCCGCAACGAGCGCAACCCACGUUUUUAGUUGCCAGCAUUCAGUUGGGCACUCUAGAGAGACUGCCGGUGACAAACCGGAGGAAGGUGUGGACGACGUCAAGUCAUCAUGCCCCUUACGCCUUGGGCUACACACGUACUACAAUGCUGCGGACAAAGAGUAGCGAUCUUGCGAAAGUUAGCUAAUCUCAUAAACCGUGGCUCAGUUCAGAUCGUAGGCUGCAACUCGCCUACGUGAGGUAGGAAUCGCUAGUAAUCGCAGGUCAGCAUACUGCGGUGAAUACGUUCCCGGGCCUUGUACACACCGCCCGUCACACCAUGGAAGUUGGCCAUGCCCGAAGUCGUUACUCUAACCUUCCUUUGGGGAGGGAGAGGGCGCCGAAGGCAGGGCUGAUGACUGGGGUGAAGUCGUAACAAGGUAGCCGUAGCGGAAGCUGCGGCUGGAUCACCUCCUAA
rnacentral:rRNA from 1 species